rnacentral:lncRNA from 1 species
AUCACCUGUUGGGUCUACAGAAGUAUCACCCACUCCAAUAGCGCAGCCACCACCUAAGCCAGGAUGUGAAGAAUGGGUCUAUGUGAGUGAACCGAUACCAGAGGAAGUACGUGCAUUUUUAAUACCUUACUGGCAAUUAAUAGAGAAUUCAUACAUAAACACCAUCAAAACAGCCCUCAGGAAUCUGAGAGAAGAUCAGCACACCCUCCUCGCUUACCUAUAUGAAACUAGAACAAGUUUCAAGCAGCUUCUAAAACAACCAGAUUACAA